rnacentral:rRNA from 1 species
GGAUAAGCGCUGAAAGCAUCUAAGCGCCAAGCCUAUCCCAAGAUGAGAUCUCCCUGAAGGGUCGUGGUAGACCACCACGUUGAUAGGUUACUGGUGUAAGUGCAGUAAUGUAUUUAGCUAAGUAAUACUAAUAACCCGUUUGGCUUGAUCAUUUACUUUUCUGU